rnacentral:tRNA from 1 species
UUAACUGAAACCAAAGUAGAGGUAUAUCAUUGUUAAUGAUAUAAAUGAAUUAAAUAUUCCAGUUAAA